UACGGAGGGUGCGAGCGUUGUCCGGAAUCACUGGGCGUAAAGGGCGCGUAGGCGGCGCGGUUAGUCAACGGUGAAAGCUUGGGGCUCAACCCCGAGUCGGCCGUCGAUACUCCCGUGCUUGAGCACUGUAGAGGCAGGUGGAAUUCCGGGUGUAGCGGUGGAAUGCGUAGAGAUCCGGAAGAACACCGGUGGCGAAGGCGGCCUGCUGGGCAGUAGCUGACGCUGAGGCGCGACAGCGUGGGGAGCAAACAGG
rnacentral:rRNA from 1 species